rfam:Dipodomys ordii contig_34446, whole genome shotgun sequence.
GGAAAGGUAGCUCAGUGGUAGAGUGCUUGCCUCGCGUGCAAGAAGCCCUGGGUUCAAUUUCUCAGCACCA